GCAUCAGUGGUUUAGUGGUAAAAUUCGUCGUUGCCAUACAAUCAAGAGUUGAAUCUCGACGAGCCGGGGGUUCGAUUCCCCCCUGAUGCA